rnacentral:ncRNA from 2 species
UUUUGAUUUAUUCUCCGAGUUGUAAGUUCUAAGUUCAAUAGAAUACGGCUUCCAACCGAUAGGGAUUAUCCGGAAACAGAUUAUCCUGCCAUUUGCAAAGGAGAUUAUUUUAGAUUUUG